rnacentral:rRNA from 1 species
UGGGGAAUAUUGGACAAUGGGCGCAAGCCUGAUCCAGCCAUGCCGCGUGAGUGAUGAAGGCCCUAGGGUUGUAAAGCUCUUUCAGCGAGGAGGAUAAUGACGUUACUCGCAGAAGAAGCCCCGGCUAACUUCGUGCCAGCAGCCGCGGUAAUACGAAGGGGGCUAGCGUUGUUCGGAAUCACUGGGCGUAAAGCGCACGUAGGCGGACUUUUAAGUCAGGGGUGAAAUCCCGGGGCUCAACCUCGGAACUGCCUUUGAUACUGGAAGUCUGGAGUCCGAGAGAGGUGAGUGGAACUCCGAGUGUAGAGGUGAAAUUCGUAGAUAUUCGGAAGAACACCAGUGGCGAAGGCGGCUCACUGGCUCGGUACUGACGCUGAGGUGCGAAAGCGUGGGGAGCAAAAAGGAUUAGAUACCCUGGUAGUCCACGCCGUAAACGAUGGAAGCUAGCCGUCAGGGUGCAUGCAUCUUGGUGGCGCAGUUAACGCAUUAAGCUUCCCGCCUGGGGAGUACGGUCGCAAGAUUAAAACUCAAAGGAAUUGACGGGGUCAUAGCUGUUUCCU